UCUCUCUCAACCCGCUCUCAAUUCGACUUUCAGGUCUUCGAUCAACUCUCUCUCAAUUCGACUUUCAGGUCUUCGAUCAGCUCUCUCUCUCUCUGUCUCUCUCUCAACCAGUGGAGUUUUCAGGUUUGGAUCGAUUCUCACUUCACUCUCUCCUAUGUUAUUAAGUUAUCUUGCUCACUCUCUCUUUAUUAGAUUAAAAAUCUCCACAUCCCCCCCUCUUUCUCUCCACUAUGCUCUCGCUCUUGCCCUUGUUCCCUAUCUCAGGUUAACAAUCUCCUCUCUCUCUCUCUCUCUCUCUUGUGAAACUAAGAGUGAGAAUUGGUCCUUUCUAUCCUAAAUCACACAUUUUAAUCAUCUUCUAGUUUAUAGCAGCUAGAGAGAUAAAGGGAUCACAGUCCAAAGGACUGUAUUAAAAAUUUGCUGAAACAAACAGGAGGCUACAACUUCCUACCUACAACUCAUAGUGAAUUUUUCUCUCUAGAACAAAGAUUAGACAAGAUAGGAAUCUGCAAUUUCCACAACAGUAGGAAUAGAAGAGAGAGAUUGUGAGUUUCAAACCUGGUUCAGACUUACCCAGGAAGAUCCGAGUGCACUUUCUCUCUCUAGCAUGUUGCUUAGAUAUAUCUUCUCAGCUGGUUUUCCCGGUAUGGCAAUGGAUGGUGGGGAAAGGGAUGAUGUUAUUGAGGGGCUUCAGGAUCUACGGUUUCUCUCUCUCUCUCUCUCUCUCUCUCUCUAUUUAUGUGUUGAGAGAGUUUUGAGGUGGGGAAUGGAGGAACAAGGCCAGGGGGAUUUGGAUGUUAUAAAG
rnacentral:lncRNA from 1 species